rnacentral:lncRNA from 1 species
UAUUUACAGAUUAGAAGGCAGAAAUUCUAAGACUGUUAACAGUUGUCAUUGCCUACCAAACUCAUGGAUUUCCAUCAGCAGUUUCUAAAAUUUAUGCUAAUAAGAUUAAUAUCCUGGAUUUAAUGAAACAGUGUCUAUAGAGAGAUCUGAGAUCUGGCAUAAGAUCUGAGAAAUAGGUCCCUGUACUUUUGGAAAUUCUAAGGAUCUCCUUUCAACACCAGUAUUUUCUGUGGUUACAGAAGCAUCUUCAGUCAGUUGUCACAAGAGUCUGACAUCUGUUUUUCUUGAAAAAUACUUUACUACUCCUGAAGGUGAUUUUAUUGUGGUGUCAAACAAAUAUCUCUGA